CACAUUGGAAUGUGGCUAACUCCUCCUAAGGCUUUCGUCCCACCGACACCAAAUUUGCUCAGGCCAAUCUACAUCCCAUGGCCAUUCAAAGUUGUAAAAAUCAUGACGCUGCACCCCACGGUUUAUGUUCUAGGGGGCGCCAAAGAUGACCCAAAUAUCCACAUUUUUAAAAGUCUUAUAACUUUUUAUUUUUGUCCUCACUGGCCUCCAAGUUUUCUAGGAUGAUGCAAUGUGCAGCCAUCAACACAUCUGUGGAGGAAUUUUUUCUCCCCAAAAGAGCGCCCCCCCCCCCCCCCCCCCAUGGCAGGAGAAAAAGUCAAGUUUUUCCAGCCCAUCGCUUAAUGGCUCAAACGCAUUGCUCUCCCGCUAAAACCAAAAGGAGGAGCAACUUGCCAUUUGGAUAUGUCCUAGCUGUGUUUGUGCCCUCACUCAUGGUCCAGAGUUUUUUCAAAUAGGACAUGUAGUUUGUCUGCAGCGAGCGUUUUGGUAGAAACUGUGCCUCCCAUUCAUUAUAAUGGGAAAUGACCAAAGACAGGUGCGCACACCAUCUUUGGACCUUGACUUUGACGUCACAGUUUGAGAUACAAAUGUUAUUUGACCUCUGACCUUUGGUGGACACCCUAACCUUUCAACCCGCGAAAACGGCGUUUCAAUAGCUCUUACGGCUUUCCUACAAAUACACUUUGUUCAGCUACUCCUACUGUCCUUUAAGCUCUGCUUCUCAGAUCAUCAAAGAGUGUGCACGUGUGUAAUGAGCGCAUAUUGAAUGUUAAUUAUGUUAAAUAUGUUAAUUAUUAGAAGAAAAAACAACAACAGUCCUUUUGGACAAAAUUUCUUUUUAUUACAGAAUUAGAAUAAUGGAAGCAUAGUCCAAGGAAACCAUUCAAGUGAUGUCAUACCUCAUAAUUUAUUGAGAUGUUGGCUAGUCUGGGCAUUUCUUCAUUCAUCAGGUUUCCUGCAUGCAUACUAACAGAGCACAUCAGUAGCAGUGAGUGAUAAGUAUGAGUGUGUCAUUGUGUAAGAAAGAAAGUGGUUUACUUACACAUCCAUAGAAAAUAGGUGGUUGAGCACAGCACGCAAACAAAGCUUUGCCACAACGGUUGAACUUCCCAAGUAGCUGAUACCAAGGUCACACAAUCAUGGUGAGCAAAGGUCAAACCAGGCCAGGCACUCACGAGGCUGGCUGUGGCAAGUGUAAGUGAAAGCAACACGCAAUGGCAGGAAGAACAGCAAACACCGAUGAAGGAAAAGGGUCUUUGCAGUGAUGGGCGUCACCAGAGAGGGCGAUGGCCAGAGGGCACGAAUGGGACGGGGAGGCGGUCGCGCUGGGGGCGGCGCGACGCAGCUCGGGCCCGCCAGUGCCCCAACGGGGCCCUAGUUAUUAUUUUUCCUCCGCUUUAAACUGGAAAAUGGCCCACUUCCCACUGGCGAAAACUCAUGAAAUUUGGCAGGACGACCGGGCCUGGUGAAAAAUUCGAUAUUCUGAAGUCGCCCAAACAAUAAAAUGCAAAAUGGCUCCAUAGCGCCCCCUAAGGCGAAAAUUCACACUAUUGACUGUCACGCCUGUACGCUUUGUCAUAUUGACACAAAAAUUGACACACACGUGUAUCUCAAUACGGUCUACGAAAAAGUCAGCGCGGGCGCAUCUGUGAAAUGUACGGUUAGAGGGUUAUUUCGCAUUUUUUGCCGAUCUGCACACAUUGGAAUUUCGCUAACUCCUCCGAAGGCAUUCGUUCCACCGGCACCACAUUUGCUCAAGCCAAUCUACACCCCAUGGCCAUUAAAAGUUGUACAAAUCAUGACGCUGCACCCCACAGUUUACGUUCUAGGGGGCGCCAAAGAUAACCCAAAAAUCCACAGUCUUAAAAGUCUUAUAACUUUUUAUUUUUGUCCUCACUGGCCUCCAAGUUCUCUAGGAUGAUGCAAUGUCCAGCCAUCAACACAUUUGUGAAGGAAUUUUUACUCCCCAAAAGAGCGCCCCCACAUGGCAGGAGAAAAAAGUCCAUUUUUUCUUGUCCCCUAAGGUGAAAAUACACAUUGUUGAGUGUCACGCCUAUACGCUUUGUCAUAUUGACACAAAAUUUGACAAUCACGUGUAUCUCAAUAAGAUCUACGAAAAAGUCAAUGGGCACGUAUCUGUAAAAUGUACGGUUAAAGGGUUAUUUCGCAUUUUUUCCCGAUCCGCACACAUUGGAAUUUCACUAACUCCUCCGAAGGCUUUAGUUCCACCGCCACCAAAUUUGCUCAGGCCAAUCUACACCCCA